GAUGAACGCUAGCUACAGGCUUAACACAUGCAAGUCGAGGGGAAACGGCAUUAAGUGCUUGCACUUUUUGGACGUCGACCGGCGCACGGGUGAGUAACGCGUAUCCAACCUUCCCAUUACUGUGGGAUAACCUGCCGAAAGGCAGACUAAUACCGCAUAGUCUUCGAUGACGGCAUCAGAUUUGAAGUAAAGAUUUAUCGGUAAUGGAUGGGGAUGCGUCUGAUUAGCUUGUUGGUGGGGUAACGGCCCACCAAGGCAACGAUCAGUAGGGGUUCUGAGAGGAAGGUCCCCCACAUUGGAACUGAGACACGGUCCAAACUCCUACGGGAGGCAGCAGUGAGGAAUAUUGGUCAAUGGACGGAAGUCUGAACCAGCCAAGUAGCGUGCAGGAUGACGGCCCUAUGGGUUGUAAACUGCUUUUGUAUGGGGAUAAAGUUAGGGACGUGUCCCUAUUUGCAGGUACCAUACGAAUAAGGACCGGCUAAUUCCGUGCCAGCAGCCGCGGUAAUACGGAAGGUCCAGGCGUUAUCCGGAUUUAUUGGGUUUAAAGGGAGCGUAGGCUGGAGAUUAAGUGUGUUGUGAAAUGUAGACGCUCAACGUCUGAAUUGCAGCGCAUACUGGUUUCCUUGAGUACGCACAACGUUGGCGGAAUUCGUCGUGUAGCGGUGAAAUGCUUAGAUAUGACGAAGAACUCCGAUUGCGAAGGCAGCUGACGGGAGCGCAACUGACGCUUAAGCUCGAAGGUGCGGGUAUCAAACAGG
rnacentral:rRNA from 1 species